CCACCAGCUCAUCUAUGAACCAACACAUCCCGGGGUUCUCCUUCGUUCACCCGGAUUGGGCGCCCAAUGGCGGAGUAUGAUCAGAGCGCUCUUCUCUGCUCACAUAAAGACAUUAGACCAUCUUCACCAUCAUACAGGAAGUAAAAGCUCUCAUGGAGGGAUUAUGGCUCAAAGCAGAGCAGCAUGGAGAGCUUCAAGAGCACUGCUUUCAGAACGACCCAGAAUGGCCCAGCCUGCAAGGUAUCCCGCAGGAAAGUAAUUCUAGACCACAUCCAAGGAUCGGUAACACCAAUUGGUUAUUCUGGGACCACGAAGAAGGAAACCAAUACCAUCUUAAGUGGUGAACUACAUUAGAAACCGGUUUCCAGACCCAGAUGGACAUGAUAUUGGUUUUCAUGGGGCUGGGGAAUAUGCAGCCUUUGACAUGGCGUCCGA